UACGUAGGGGGCUAGCGUUGUCCGGAAUCAUUGGGCGUAAAGCGCGUGUAGGCGGCCCGAUAAGUCCGCUGUGAAAGUCCAGGGCUCAACCCUGGGAUGCCGGUGGAUACUGUCGGGCUCGAGUCCGGAAGAGGCGAGUGGAAUUCCUGGUGUAGCGGUGAAAUGCGCAGAUAUCAGGAAGAACACCCGUGGCGAAGGCGGCUCUCUGGGACGGUACUGACGCUGAGACGCGAAAGCGUGGGGAGCGAACAGG
rnacentral:rRNA from 1 species